CUAAGCAUCGGUUUCAUCGUCCCCUUACCAUCUAGAGACAUAAUCUCAUCGUCUCCAAAUCGAUUCAGAGACGAUCCCACCAUGAAUUAUCCAACCCCAAAAUAAGAUUGUAUGUAACACAUCUUUCUUCGAACCCCAAUCGAUUCACACAAUUUUCAAUCAAAAUUUUGAGCUCGAUUUUCCAGAACAAAUUUUCACCUUACUUCACUUCCAUGGUCGAGUUGAUUAUUUCUCCCACUCCAGUUCACAAAAUUGUCGACAAGUUUUUUUUUUUACUUUCAUCGAAUUCAAUUAUAUCAGAUUCUCAGUCUUCCACCGUCCCCAAAUCGACUCUAAACCCCAAGGAAAGAACAGAAGCGGAAGUACAGAUGGAUUCGUUGCAAGAUAAGGUUUCAGGUAGUCAUCCACGUCGAACUCCAAGAAUUAUUGAAGUAGCUCAACUUCUGGAGCUAAUCGAGAGUGGUGUUAGGUCGAUCAACCUCUUUUCUUCUUAAACUCCCAUGAUAAGUCAUUUCUUCAUUUAUUUAUAUGAAUCCAAUUUUUAAUUCUUGAUUCUAUAAUCGUAGGUCUAUCUAUGUGAUUAUUGUGGUGGAGGUUCGCUGAGCUCCGAUCUAGCCUGCUUUCAGCUUACUUCCUUUUGCUUUACAGUGUGUCUUUUUUUGUUUGUUGAGCCAACAUGAAAUUGUUCUAAAGUAGAAAAAUCAAGUGAACAAUUAUGAAAGAUGCUCGGAGAGGUAUGGGAAUUUGCUGAUGUGGUGGUUGUUCAGCUGUGCUUACAGAACAGGAUUUGAUGCUUUAGCAGCUACGGUUGCGAGAUACUAUUAAGGAUAGAGCUCUUGAUUCUUUACUGAAGGUAGUCUCAGGAAAAUCAGUGUGGUGGGUAAUGAAGGACAUAGCUAAUGAUGUCGACAAUGAUUGGGUCAGUACAGAAACAAAGGUACAUUUGUAUGGAGGUUAGUUGGUGGUCUUUAAGUGCGUAGGCACACAUUGUGCUGCUUUCGAAGGAAGAUUGUUCCCCAAAAAUAUUGUAGUUUGUUACUCCUAUGUUUUAUAGCUUUUGUAAAGUAACGACAGGUCGGAAGGUGCAUCACACAUAUCUCUUUGCAAGCCUGCUCGAUGAGUUACGUAUAAAGAAGUCUUUCUAUCUUAGAAAACUACGAGUGAUUGAAAAAUUAUUAAAUGAAAAAUACCGUGUUUAGUCGGAA